rnacentral:rRNA from 1 species
UACGGGGGGAGCAAGCGUUGUUCGGAUUUACUGGGCGUAAAGGGCGCGUAGGCGGCCAGCACAAGUCAGUUGUGAAAUCUCCGAGCUUAACUCGGAACGGUCAACUGAUACUGUGCGGCUAGAGUGCGGAAGGGGCAACUGGAAUUCUUGGUGUAGCGGUGAAAUGCGUAGAUAUCAAGAGGAACACCUGCGGCGAAGGCGGGUUGCUGGGCCGACACUGACGCUGAGGCGCGAAAGCUAGGGGAGCGAACAGG